GGAGGGUGCAGCUCAGUGGUAGAGUGUGUGCUUAGUAUGCACGAGGUCCUGGGUUCAAUCCCCAGAAUCUCCA
rnacentral:tRNA from 1 species